GUUACGGUAAACACGCGGUGAACCAUCAGAAAGCAAAACACAGAGAGGUUUAGGUCACCACGUAAGGUCAUCCACUCAACACAGAGAGGUUUAGGUCAUCACGUUAGGUCAUCCGCUUAACACAGAGAGGUUUAGGUCAUCACGUUAGGUCAUCCGCUCAACACAGAGAGGUUUAGGUCAUCACGUUAGGUCAUCCGCUCAACACAGAGAGGUUUAGGUCAUCACGUUAGGUCAUCCGCUCAACACAGAGAGGUUUAGGUCAUCACGUUAGGUCAUCCGCUCAACACAGAGAGGUUUAGGUCAUCACGUUAGGUCAUCCGCUCAACACAGAGAGAUUUAGGUCAUCACGUUAGGUCAUCCGCUCAACACAGAGAGGUUUAGGUCAUCACGUUAGGUCAUCCGCUCAACACAGAGAGGUUUAGGUCAUCACGUUAGGUCAUCCGCUC